AGGGACUAUGGGAGCUCAGUCUUAGUUUUUCGGAGCAAAAAAAAUCCAACCAGGAUGUCCUCCAUGUUGCUACAGCCACUAAUCUAUGUGCAUACAUGUAAAGUGUGCUGUCGUAUCAUGAGAGUACUAGUCUGUACUUUGUUUUUCAUAUGUGAACAUGUACAUGUAACAUAGUCUGAGCUUAGUGUUAGUAAAGAUGCAGGGAAAGACCAAAAACACAAACACCUUUAUGAAUGGUGGAUCUCGCAUUUCAUUUGAAAGGGCCUCCCUGACUAUGCAUCCUCCGCAGUGCCCAAAAAACACUGUAUGAGCCAGAAACGGCUGCACUUACACAGUUUUAAAGCCUCUCGGUUAAGCACUAGAAUCCAGGACCCAGCUGGUGGACUUCCAGUAACUUAUCGUCUGUGACUGGACCUGGGUCGACCUGUGAGCUCUGGCAGCAGGUUGGUGAGCUGUUCCCACGUGUGGAGGGUCCAUGGAUUGUGCUCGCUCCCUGACCAGAGUCAAACCGGCCCAAACCAUUUUCUAUCAUCCAGGUGCCACUCUUGGCAGCCAUAACUGACCCAUACACCACAGUUUGAAAGGGGAGAGCGCUGUGCCCAAUGUGCUUCUCUACCGCAAGGGUAACAAUGGCCCAGUGAGAGAAUUAAUCCCUGUAGUUGCCUCCACUGGAGAUCUUUACCAUGUUGUGCUUCUUGCAGUGUGCCUGAAAUUCCUCGUUGGCAAUUUCACACUGCAGAUCUCCCAGAGCCCUGCCACCCAGCAGCGGAGUAAUGAUGCUGGGGGGUCACCAGCUGCUAGAGCCUGUCACCUGGCUGAACUUGCUGCUCUCACACCCUCCUUACCUUACAACUCAGGUGUGGAUUGACAGACUAUAAGAUCAGUAGAGCAAAGCAAGAUCCAGAUAAAUGUGUGGGGUAGAUGAAAACAAAACUACAAUUGAGGAACCCCUGAAAGGAAGGAGACCACUGGGUGGGCAGCAUCCAAAAGUCCCAGAAGUGGUCUGUCAUGGGGCUGAGCCAUGUGAGGGAGCAACUGAUUCUGACCCAUCCAAGUCCAAACCACCAUUGUUCUAACCUGAAAAGACAGCGCCAACACAUUUAUCUGCGUUUAGCUGAAAGAUUUACGGCAAGUGUGGAGUGAAGAAAACACCUUUCUACAUAAAUUUCAUCUGUUUGAGUACUUCUUAUCUACAUCAAACAAAAGCAGUUGAUUCAUUUGUUGGAAUGCUGAAAGGUUGAAUGAGUCACCACAGGCAAAAUAUAUGUAAAUGAUGCUUUUUUUGUAUAAACAGUUUAUCUACUUAAGAUACCGGCACAUU
rnacentral:lncRNA from 1 species